rnacentral:lncRNA from 1 species
AAUUUAAGAGGAAUUAGCCAUCUUUCUGCCUUCCUUUUGUAAAUCAUAUGCUCUCAUUGAAGGCCAAUUUUUUUAAUAAUUCUGGGACAAUGAUUUCCUAGCUCAUUUAUGCACAUUACAAAACUACAACGAAGAUCAGUUGUAAUUUGAGUAACUCAAUUUGUUAAGGAGGAGAAUUUCUCAAAUAAAGAAUAGUAUUCAAGGGACAUGUUAUGUAGAGUGUAGACUGCAAACCCAAAAGAAAUGGAAAUAACACGCAUGAAAAAACAUAUACAACAUGUACUAAAAAAAAUCAAUGGACACAAGAUCAAGCAAAAACUAAACAAAGAUUACACAUGACAUUUGUACCCAUAAGAAAUCAGAUCCACCACCUGAAAAUUUCCCAGCUUCCCUCUUAUAUUACUAGCUCCUUGCACGAGAGAAUUAAUUUUGGGAGAAAUAUUUUAUGAUGUAAAUAUGUGUGUAUAUGAAUUUCUACAUGCUAAUAGUAGAUAAUAACAUGUUAGGUCUAAGGCAACAAACUACUGUGCUACAAUUCAAGCUCAAAUUCAAUAGCAUUGAUUGCAAACUUGGGUCUAAAGCAUACAUCAAACAUUUUCCAUCAAUUCAGAAGAGCUAAUUUUGGUCCAGAUCAUGGUAUCCAUGUUGUCAUUAAAAAAAUAAGAAACAAAAUCAACAAAUAAGUAACUAACACAGACCCAAAAAUACAAUCAAUAAAUAACCAUCUAACACACUAACCCAGAUUAUAUU